rnacentral:lncRNA from 1 species
CAUUUUCAGUGUCUUCCAGUGCUGCAAACACUCGGACAUUCCUGCUGCACUCAUACCUGUAUGGACAUCUAUUGGCUGUGUCUGCAUUACUCUGUGAAAAAGGGAGAAAUAGCUCACAUCAGUGCGUUUAAUUCUACAAGAAUUUUAUUCUAUCCCAUUCCAUCUUCUUUUUGGGAUAUUGGAAAGCUGCUGCACAUGCAAGAAAAGAGAUCUGGAUUUCACAAAUGAUUCCAGCUGGAUGGCUACUUCAGAGGGAGACCAGGAGAAACACCGCUGUGAAAGGCCAUGUGAUUAACGUGCAGUAAGACAUCCAGACUGUGCACUUUGACUGCAGGGAGGAUAUGGCCUUCCAUGAGAGGAAAGAUUCCGGUUCAUUUUACUGUGUGUAGGAAGUGGAUUUAUGCAGUGCUAUCGGUAGACAGGGAGGCAAGCACUGCUUCCUUGCUGACGACAGAAGUAUGUGAAACUGCUGUAAUCUGAUCACUAAAAACGAGUGGAAGACUGGUGAUGGGAUGAGCAGUAAAGCAGCAUCGUGGUUCAGAAGUGGCAGCCGAGACAUCCCCACACCUCUGCUGCAGUGAAGAAAUUAGGUCAGUCUGUCACCUCGGACAAGGAUCCUAGAAGUCAGCUACAUCAGUGCCUUUGGCUGGGAUUUCUCUUUACUGCCUUAAGCAACUAAAUAUUUUGCUUCACUCCAAGCUUGAUGACACUGAUGGUCUGCCAUGAGUCAGACACUGAGGGCUUUCCUUAUUUCCUCCUCAUGGUGAAAUGAACAAAGGACAUCAGGAUUUGGCAUGCUUCCCAUGUUCAUCUCCUGCUCGAAGGCACCGCAGCAUGGACACACAGUCAUAGAUAGAACUACAAUGGAGGGAACUGUUUCACCUCUCUUAUUUGGCCUUACAGAUUUAUGAUUUAGGCAUUGAAUCAGUUCCAGCUGAAUUCAACAGCACAACUCCCAUAGGUUUUAAUAAGAAUAUCAGGGCUUUCCUAAUUAAUGUAAUAAUCGUAUAUUACUGGCACGACAACUGAUAUAGUAGCCUUUUAAGAAGCCUUUAAAAAAAACUCAAACAAUUCCACUUGCUUUUUGAGAGUGCUACAUAGCAAGUACACACACCACAUGUAAACAGACAGCAAGAGAUAUUUCAGCAUUUCAGGUGAAAAGCAAAAGGUUUUCCACAAAUUGUACAAGAGUUGCUUGAAAGUUUUGGAGCCAAGCUAAGUUUUUCAGAGACCACGAUCUGUAUGUUCAGCUGUUUGAAUCUCAGCCUGUGGCUAACCACUAUCUCUUCUCCAGGGAGAAGCCUGGAAGAACUUCUACCAUAGGAAGUAUACAAAUCCUGGUUUUACUCAAAAUCCUACUUUCUCAUAGCAGCAGCAUUCUACUCAAUCAGCAUUCUACUCAAUACUAUCAAGAGAAAAGAGACAUAGCAAUUGGUAUGAAAUUUGAACUCCUGUUUUUUCUGCCACCUGUGCUAAAAAGAAAAUUCUUCCAGACAAUGAAUGUUUCCUAAUUUCCCACCCACAUAUGCCCAGAAUUUCCUCUUGUUCUCCAGUUGCUGGCAAAAGAAAUACUCUCACAUCCCAUUAAGUGCUGAAAUAGAGUCCUAUUUCUGGCACAUAUCUGUGGAAUUAUACCAGAAAAGUCAGGAUGAACAAAUUUGCCCCCUUAUGGUGACAUCUUCCAUAUCAAAUCUUCUAUUUCACUUAAUUACUGAAUAUUUUCUUCACAGAACUGAAAAUAACAUUGUUAGGAUUGUAUUCUUUCCUUCCACUGGUACUUUCCACAUUUUGCCCAGUGAGACAACCACUUGCAAUUCCCUGCUGCUUUUCAACCUAACACAGGCCAGUAUGUCCUUCUAAAGGAGUUAGAUCCAGCCUCAUCUGUUAAGUAUCAGAUAAAUCCUGUCUGACACUAAACACUUCUAUACAGGUCUAUAAUAAAGCAUGGCAAUUCUGUGGUGCAGGGCCACUACAGAGCCUAAAUUAUAGGAUGUAGGCCAGUUUCUCAUCCAUGGGCUUCUGGCAAGAGCCAGAAAGUUAAAACUCAAAGCUAAAUGUGUAGAAAAGACUUCUGGAGAAAACAGUGAUGGAUUUGCUGAUGCUGUAUAACACUGUACAUCUUUUCUGGGUGACAGAAACUUCAUAAAGCUCAGCAGAACAAAUGCAAGGUACUUCCCAUUGGACAGACAGAGGGCCCUGUAAGGUGGGGUCUGGCUAGAGUGAGAGCAGCUCUGCAGGGCAGGAUCUGGGGUGAAGUUUUUGAACACGAAUCAGCAGUGCGCCCUUGAGGUAAUGAAAGCUAACCACAUGCUAGGCUGCAUUAGCAAGAGAGCAGCCAGCAGCUGGAGGGAAAUGGUUAUUCCCUUUCAAUUGGCAUUUGCGAGGUCACGUUUGGCAUAAUGUAUAAUGUCCAGUUUUGGGUUUCACCCUGAGAGACAUUGGUAUGCUAGACUAAGUCCAAUGGAGGGCCACAAAGACAGUGGUGUAAGGCAUUCAAGGACAAGCUGAGGAAACUGAGUUUGUCCAGCCUGAAGAAGCAACGUGUGGCUAGGAGAGGGAGCUUUGAUGGUAAUCUUCAACUUCAUGAAGUGAUGUUACAAACAAGACAGAGCCAGUCUUCUCUCAGAAGCAUGAAGCUAAAAGGCAAACAUCAGUGGUCAUGAGCUGUAGCCAGGGAAAUUCUCAUCAAAUAUAAGAAGGAAAAAAAACAACACAAAACAGAGCAGGGAAGGGUGGUCAAAAACAGCCAGAGAGGUUGUGGAAUCUCCAUCCUCAAAAAUUUUCAGUGUUUGACUGGAGAAAGCCAUGAGCAACCUCAUCUGACUUUCAAGUUUGUCUGACUUUAAGCAGAGGGUUGGACUAGAUGACCUCCAAAGGUUAUUUCCAGCGUAAAUUAUUCUGUGAUUCUAUAAAUAAGGUAGAGGUUGUAAGGAAAAGGUCCUAAAUCAGAUUCAGGAGUGGCAUGAGCCUUUCCUGUGUUGAGAGAUCAGGCCUGCAGGCUGUUAAUACCACUGACCUCCUAAGGCUGAAUGAUUGAAAACCACUGUUGGAUGCAGCAGAGCAUGUGUUCCUGGCAUAGCGCUUGCAUUGAGCCCUACCCAAGUUUCUGUAAGCAAUGGCUUUAUCUGGGCGGAGUGCUGUCACUCAGGCACUUUUCCCUUCAUUUUUCCCUCACUUCUUGUCAUCAGAAUACAUGAAAUCCAGUUUGUUAAAAGAACUCACCAAACAUUCACACUCCAAGAACAGGAGUGUGAUUUUUGCAAGAAUUUUAACUUUCUUGUAACAUUUUCAUUUCUCAGAAAAUCUCUUGUGCCUUUGGUAACCAAAGUAUUGCACAGGUAAAAUGUACCAAUCACACACAAAUUCCUACUGCUUGCCUGAAUAAGAGCAAUCGAUAGGAAAAAAAAAAAAAAAAAGACUCAUACUAGAAAUCUCUGUUUCUAUUAGUUGAAGUGAUUCUAUGGGAGAUAAACAAAGAUUCACAUUUUAACAAUUCAGGUGACCUCAGAAAGACUGAAGUGACAACAUUUUUUUAUGGCGGAUAGUUUAAACUAGUGAGAUGUUCGCUCUACUAACUAAUAAAAAUGAAGUUUUGAUACGU